rnacentral:rRNA from 1 species
AGUUUGAUCCUGGCUCAGGAUGAACGCUAGCUACAGGCUUAACACAUGCAAGUCGAGGGGCAGCAUGAACUUAGCUUGCUAAGUUUGAUGGCGACCGGCGCACGGGUGAGUAACGCGUAUCCAACCUGCCCUUGUCCACUGGAUAACCCGUCGAAAGGCGGACUAACACGGUAUGCAGUCCACAGCAGACAUCUAACGUGGACGAAAUGUGAAGGAGAAGGAUGGGGAUGCGUCUGAUUAGCUUGUUGGCGGGGUAACGGCCCACCAAGGCGACGAUCAGUAGGGGUUCUGAGAGGAAGGUCCCCCACAUUGGAACUGAGACACGGUCCAAACUCCUACGGGAGGCAGCAGUGAGGAAUAUUGGUCAAUGGGCGAGAGCCUGAACCAGCCAAGUAGCGUGCAGGAUGACGGCCCUAUGGGUUGUGAACUGCUUUUAUACGGGGAUAAAGUGAGCCACGUGUGGCUUAUUGCAGGUACCGUAUGAAUAAGGACCGGCUAAUUCCGUGCCAGCAGCCGCGGUAAUACGGAAGGUCCGGGCGUUAUCCGGAUUUAUUGGGUUUAAAGGGAGCGUAGGCCGUCUGUUAAGCGUGUUGUGAAAUGUCGGGGCUCAACCUGGGCAUUGCAGCGCGAACUGGCAGACUUGAGUGCGCAGGAAGUAGGCGGAAUUCGUCGUGUAGCGGCGAAAUGCUUAGAUAUGACGAAGAACUCCGAUUGCGAAGGCAGCCUGCUGUAGCGUAACUGACGCUGAAGCUCGAAAGCGUGGGUAUCGAACAGGAUUAGAUACCCUGGUAGUCCACGCGGUAAACGAUGGAUGCUCGCUGUUUGCGUCUGACGUAAGCGGCCAAGCGAAAGCGUUAAGCAUCCCACCUGGGGAGUACGCCGGCAACGGUGAAACUCAAAGGAAUUGACGG